rnacentral:lncRNA from 1 species
GAAAACGGAAUCGAACCAGCGAGAUCCUGACAAAUAUUGUCAGUACCACCGCACGAACGGCCAUGACACCAAUAACUGCUUCCAGUUGAUUGCUGAGAUCGAAAGGCUAAUAAAGAGGGGACACCUCAAGAACUUCAUAAAGAAACCAGAAGAACAAAGGCCUCAGCCAAACCCAACAGGACAGACACUCAGAAGAGCGGGAGCAGGGCAGGUGAAUGAUGGAUCCAAUGGGACCAUCAACAUGGUCGUUGGAGGAAUAAAAGGUUGAACAAGC